rnacentral:rRNA from 1 species
AUGGCCGCGGUAUUUUGACCGUGCAAAGGUAGCAUAAUCAUUAGUUUUUUAAUUGAAAGCUGGAAUGAAUGGUUGGACAAGAAAAUUUCUGUCUCUGUUUAAUUUUUUAGAAUUUUAUUUUUUAGUUAGAAAGCUUAAAUUUUUUUAAGGGACGAGAAGACCCUAUAGAAUUUUACUUAUAAAAGAGUUUUUAAUGUUUAGAUUUAUUUUUUUGAAAUUUAUUUUAUAUGUUUUGUUGGGGUGAUAGAAAAAUUUAAAUAACUUUUUUUUGUUUAAAUCAUUGAUUAAUGAAUAAUUGAUCCAUUUGUUUUGAUUAUAAGAAUAAAUUACCUUAGGGAUAACAGC